rnacentral:rRNA from 1 species
UACGUAGGGUGCAAGCGUUGUCCGGAAUUAUUGGGCGUAAAGAGCUCGUAGGCGGCUAGUCACGUCGGAUGUGAAAACCCGAGGCUCAACCUCGGGCCUGCAUUCGAUACGGGCUGGCUAGAGUACUGCAGGGGAGACUGGAAUUCCUGGUGUAGCGGUGAAAUGCGCAGAUAUCAGGAAGAACACCCGUGGCGAAGGCGGCUCUCUGGGACGGUACUGACGCUGAGACGCGAAAGCGUGGGGAGCGAACAGG